UACGUAGGGCGCAAGCGUUGUCCGGAAUUAUUGGGCGUAAAGAGCUCGUAGGCGGUCUGUCACGUCUGCCGUGAAAACCCGAGGCUUAACCUCGUGGCUUGCGGUGGAUACGGGCAGACUAGAGGUAGGUAGGGGAGAACGGAAUUCCCGGUGUAGCGGUGAAAUGCGCAGAUAUCAGGAGGAACACCGGUGGCGAAGGCGGGUCUCUGGGCCGAUACUGACGCUGAGGAGCGAAAGCGUGGGGAUCAAACAGG
rnacentral:rRNA from 1 species